rnacentral:rRNA from 1 species
CCUACGGGAGGCAGCAGUGAGGAAUAUUGGUCAAUGGGCGAGAGCCUGAUCCAGCCACGUCGCGUGAGGGAAGACGGUCCUAUGGAUUGUAAACCUCUUUUGCCGGGGAGCAAAAAGCGGUACGUGUACCGCAUCGAGAGUACCCGGAGAAAAAGCAUCGGCUACCUCCGUGCCAGCAGCCGCGGUAAUACGGAGGAUGCGAGCGUUAUCCGGAUUUAUUGGUUUUAAAGGGUACGCAGGCGGCGAGUUCAGUCAGCGGGAAAAUUUAGGGGUUCAACAUCGACGAGCCUUUGAAACUGGGUUGCUAGAGUGGGCGAGAAGUAUGCGGAAUGCGUGGUGUAGCGGUGAAAUGCAUAGAUAUCACGCAGAACUCCGAUUGCGAAGGCAGCAUACCGGCGCCCAACUGACGCUCAGGCACGAAAGCGUGGGUAUCGAACAGGAUUAGAUACCCGAGUAGUC